rnacentral:lncRNA from 1 species
AACAAAUAACUGAUGGGUCCAAGGUUUUAAAACUACAAUUUUAAGGUACUUUAAUUUAUAGGGUUGUGUAAAAAUCUUUCUGAUAAUCAACUAUAGUCCAACACAUCUUGCCAAUAUAUUACAAUAUGUAUUGUGUUUGACUUGCUGUUAUUCCAUUAGACUUGGUUUUGUUAGUAUUAAAACUUAAACUUAAAAUUGGAAUCUGGCUAAAAAUGCAUGUAGCGACAUGGGUCCUUAGGUUUUAUUUAGUGAAAACAUAAAAACUUAUUUAACUAUUUGCAUUUUAGCACCAAUUGAGGUCUUAUGUUACAAGGGAACAAUUGUCUGGUGAACCAAAUCAUAAAACCUUUUGUUGUUUCAGUGUCAAUAAACUGUACCCAUUGUUUUUUAAAUUUAAAACAUCUGUAAGGCUACCUGAAAUGUACUAAUAUAUGUUUUUAUAUAUGAUUAAUACAUGUUUGAAAACAUUAAUAGAAAUUAAUAUUAAUCCAGACUUCCCAAUUUUGUAAAAGGUAAUAAAAAACACCAAAAAAGUCAUGUUCACAUCAUUAGACUAAGUACAUCAUUCAAGGAUCAUAUUGCAAAUAUAGAUUGUUAAUGAAAUUUAAAAGGUUCUUGCAUGAAACCCUUGAUGUUUAAAUUGGACAGGCUACUGUUCACAGAGAAUGUGUUCAGGACAGUUAGUGCAAUCAUAAAAAUAAAGUGAAAUAACUUUAUACAGCAAUGUGUUUUUUUCAUGUUUUUCCUCACUUCAUCAGAGCAUUUAGAUUCUUGACAUUUUAACAUUAUUUAUUUUUCUGUAAAUUGAUCUCAGCAUUAGGGUAUAUUAGGCUUCGGGAAGUCACUGAUACUGCCAAAUACACAUUGUUAUGCAUUGUUUAUCAUGUUAAAGUAGAUUGUUUUUGUUGGUAAUAUUCAUUAAUAGAAAAAAAGUAGUAAUAUACAUAACACAAAGGAACAUAACUGCAAAUGGAUAUUUAUGCAUAUUAUAAUUUAAGAAGGCAACUUAACACACUAAAUAAGACAGAUAAAUUGUUAAAUUUAACCUAAGUUGAUAAAAUUCUGACAUUACUUUGGAUGUGAUUAACAACUUCACUACUAACAUGAGUCUUGUCAAUUGGUAAUGAUGAACUGUACAUGCACCUGAACAUUGAUGGGGCUGCCACUUUGGAUGUAUUUCCUGUUUUAUAAGUCAUUAUGUUAGGUUUCAUAAUACUAAAACUAAAAUAAAUUGGGGAUCAUGAAUGUUAAAUCAUUUUUUUUAUUAGAAAAAAGACAAACAUACUGAACUUCAAAGAAAAAUUCAAAUCAGAAAGUCCCUUAACAAAUGGCCAAAAUUGGCAAAUCAAAAGCUCAAACACACCAAACGAAUGGAAACAACUGUCAUUUUCCCUGACUAGAAUUGCAGUAGCUUAUAACAUUGAUAUAACUCUGAUACAUAUACAAAUGUACAAGGAAUGUAAAAAAAAAAAUGACUUUUUUAGGAAUGAAAGAAUCUGUGAUUUUUUAGGGGAGAUUUAAAAAAAAAAUGACUUGAAUUUAGGGGGAAAUUUUUAACUGGAUACUGCUGCAAUUUAAACAAAAGAGUAUGUUUGGUAGGUGCUCCAUUUGACCCUGAAUAUGAAGUCUACUUUUACAAGAUAAAAAUUGUUUCAAGUUAGUGCAUAGAUAUGUUAGAAAGUUAAAUAAAACUAUUUUCUUAUAAAUUCAAACAAUUACUACCCAAAUUGGCCAACAAAGAUUUUUAGUGAAAUUUGAAAAAAGCUCUUGCUUGAUUUUAACCAAUUAAAUUUAGGCCUAGGAAACAAAGAGUACAUGCUUAACAAA